UGGGCUGAGCGAGAGCGCGGGCGGGCCGCGGGGGCCGGGCAUGGUGCUCUGAGGCGCUCUCGUUUCGCUGCGAGGGUCUGCUGAGGGUCAAUUGAUUUGCCUUUCAGCGCGGGGGGAGAAAGAGUUUUAACCCCGUUUUUUUGUUAGUGGAGACCUGUAAAGAGAAGGAAAUGAAAACUGAAAUAGUCACACGGUGUUGUGUCCCUUCCAGCUAACUGCUACGAAACACUCCUUGCUGCAGCGUGGGCUUGCACAGAUUCCUGUGCUUCCGCCUCAAGAAGCACAGACAAGCAUAAGGAAGUCUCAGGGCAAAUCCUGUUUAGGAGACAGCUGCACAGAAAAGAUAAUUCAAGAGUAGACCAUAGCAGGUCAAAUAUGAAGAGUGGCUUCCCACCUCUGCUCCCAGCAGUACGUGCUAGCCAAAAGCUGUUAGGGAGUUGUUUCCAGACAACUGAGAGCAUUUUAAAGGCCACACUCACCUGGGUGUUGGGUUUGAAUAGCAGAUUUUCCCUUCUGUAGAUUCUCCCUUCUCGUCUGGUGUUACAGUGUGAGCUCCCAGCCUUGUUUCAGUGUGCUUGCUCUCUGGGCUGAAGACCACAUAUUAGCUCGGAGCAGCAUUCGGGCAGCACUUUUAACAAGGAGCUUCUCGUCUGUUUGACAUGGGAGUAGAGAAAAGUUGGGCAGGCCAUGCAGUAUGGGUUCUUACAUAGGCCUCUGUAUGGAUGAGUGUGAUACUUGUGUGCAAAGGACAGGAAAUCUCAGAAGGGAGAACACGUCACUAAGGACAGAGAGAUCAGGACUAGCUCAGCCUGACCACGGAAAUGUCAAUGGGAAGAAGGAGCAGGACACAGUGGCGACCUUCCUUCUGCUGCCCUUGGAAGCUCUGUCUGGGACACGUGCCUUUGACCAGGUGCACCUGGUCAAAGAGGAUCCAGCUGCCCACCCUGUCUGCCUCUCUCCAGUGUGCCCCCUGUGACUGGGGAGAAAAAAAGGACACGAAGCUGCAGAGCGUGAAGCGAGUUGCAGGUCCUGUCUGUCCAAGGGAUCACAUUUGCUGGACCACAUGGGCUGGCAAGUACCAGGGCCAAUGUGACCAAGCCACGGCCCUGAAGAGGGGCCAAGUCUCCUGGGGAGCUGGAGCCCAAAGGGAAAUAAACAUGGUAAACCCAAUGGACAACACUUAG
rnacentral:lncRNA from 1 species